GCGCGGGUAGCUCAGUUGGUAGAGCACCGGACUGAAAAUCCGGGUGUCGCUGGUUCGAGUCCAGCCCUGCGCA
rnacentral:tRNA from 1 species